AGUAACACGUAAGUAAUCUACCUUCGAGUGGGGAAUAACGUCGGGAAACCGACGCUAAUACCGCAUAAUGCAGCGGCAUCUAAUGAUGACAGUUGUUAAAGAUUUAUCGCUUGAAGAGGAGCUUGCGGCAGAUUAGCUAGUUGGUAAGGUAAUGGCUUACCAAGGCUACGAUCUGUAACCGGUCUAAGAGGACGGUCGGUCACACUGACACUGAAUAACGGGUCAG
rnacentral:rRNA from 1 species